GGCAGUUCUCGGGUGACACACCCUGGAAUAAGACUCCUUCCUCUCUGGUUCUGUGUGCAUCACCCGAGAACCGCA
rfam:Myotis lucifugus cont2.11688, whole genome shotgun sequence.